AAGGGGGUAAAUGGGAGGGACUCUCUCAUUUCAACCUUGGUAAUCGACACACUAGAGUGUGUAUGUGUUUUGGGAGAACGAAGAAAGAAGAAGGCACUGGAAACUCUUGGCCGAUUUCGAGAGAAAUCAAAGGGAUGAAUCAUUUUUUUAAAGGUAAGCUCCAGGUUAAAAGUAGUUCAAAAGGAAAAUGGAAGAUGUGGUCCUAGUGGUGAUGGCUAGUCGACUAGGUUUUCCUUUAUCCUUAGUCUAGUAAAAAUUCUAAACUACAAAAUUUCGUAUUUUCCAACUGCAAACUAUUGAGAUGUAAUGAUGAAUCUUAUACUCUGUCGAAUAUUGGUGCUGGUUUGGCCUUUGAUUAUGGAGAUUUGGUUGUUUAAAA